AGUUUAUAGAAACAAACCUAUUCACAAAAAUGACAUCCUGGUUGUAUGAAUGUCUUUGUGAAGCUGAACUAGCACAGUAUUAUCCUCAUUUUACUGCCCUUGGCCUUCAGAAAAUAGAUGAAUUAGCCAACGUUACAAUGAAGGACUACUCCAAAUUGGGAGUCCAUGACAUGAAUGACCGCAAACGUCUCUUCCAACUUAUCAAAAUCAUUAAGAUUAUGCAGGAAGAAGAUAAAGCAGUCAGUAGCCCAGACUAUCGUCUUCAGACAAGCAAUCUGUGUGUCAAGCCUCAGAAAUCCAGAUCUGGCCCUCGAAGGCAACUGCAUUUUGAUUCUCCUGCUGACAACAAAGACAGAACUACCAGCAACAAUCAGUUUGAACUGUGUGAUUUAUCAGAUUUUUCUGCAAGUGAACAGAAGUCUAACUACAUAAAAGUACUGGAGCACAUGCUACCAGCUAAUUCCCAGUACCAUAUACAAACAGGAAUUCUGAAUGCCACAGCCGCUGAUUCCUGCAUACAAAAAGAAGCUAAGACUUCAUCCUUUUCAUCUAAUUACUUUUCUCCAGUACAGGGGGAUUGUGAUAGUUCAGUUAUUCAAAGAAUCUCUCAUGUUUCAGGGUAUAACUAUGGAAUCCCUCAUUCCUAUAUCAGAAGCCAGAGUUUCAGAACCCUGAGAAACUCCCUCACCAACUUGAAGCUUCCUGUUAGUGAGUCAUCCCUAUCCGAAGAGCAUUCUCUUUGGAUACCUCAAAUUAGACAGAACACUUCAGAGAAAGAGAAUCCUUGGACUGAGAUGGAGAAAAUCAGAGUUUGUGUUCGAAAACGCCCUCUGGGCAUGAGGGAGGUACGUCGUGGAGAAAUCAACAUUAUUACUGUGAAAGAUAAAGAAACUCUACUUGUUCAUGAGAAGAAAGAAGCAGUUGACCUCACACAGUAUAUUCUACAGCAUGUUUUUUAUUUUGAUGAAAUCUUUGAUGAGGCGUGCACUAAUCAAGAUAUUUACAUGAAGACUACUCACCCACUCAUUCAGCAUAUUUUCAAUGGAGGCAAUGCCACUUGCUUCUCAUAUGGACAGACAGGUGCUGGAAAGACCUAUACCAUGAUAGGAACUCAUCAGAACCCAGGACUGUAUGCUCUGGCUGCCAGAGACAUCUUCAGACAACUGGAAGUGUCCCAGCCAAGAAGGCAUGUUUUUGUGUGGAUCAGCUUCUAUGAAAUCUACUGUGGACAGCUUUAUGACCUUCUAAAUAGAAGAAAAAGGCUCUUCGCAAGAGAAGAUAGCAAGCACGUAGUACAAAUAGUGGGACUGCGAGAGCUUCAGGUGGAUAGUGUGGAGCUCCUCUUAGAGGUGAUCCUCAAGGGCAGCAAGGAGCGCAGCACCAGGGCCACUGGAGUUAAUGCAGACUCCUCCCGCUCUCACGCUAUCAUCCAAAUUCAGAUCAAAGAUUCAGCCAAGAGGACAUUUGGCAGGAUCUCUUUCAUUGACUUGGCUGGCAGUGAAAGAGCAGCGGAUGCCCGAGACUCAGAUAGACAGACAAAGAUGGAAGGCGCAGAAAUAAACCAGAGUCUUCUGGCUCUGAAGGAAUGUAUCCGUGCAUUGGAUCAGGAACACACCCACACUCCUUUCAGGCAAAGCAAAUUAACUCAGGUGCUGAAGGACUCUUUCAUUGGCAAUGCCAAAACCUGCAUGAUCGCCAACAUCUCACCAAGCCAUGUGGCCACUGAACACACUCUGAAUACUUUGCGCUAUGCUGACCGGGUCAAAGAACUAAAGAAAGGCAUUAAAUGUUGUACGCCAGCUAACAGUCGAAAUCGAACAUCUGGAAACUCUAACUCUUCUCCAAAACGAAUUCAGAGCUCUCCUGUGGCCCUGCCAGGGGACAAAUGUUCUCCCAAAAAAGUCAAGCUGGGGCUUCAGCAGCCGCUCACAGUGCCAUCUGGCUCCAUGAGAGGGAAGGCCCAUCCUCUGGCUAGUCACCCAGCCAAUAUCCCUUUUGCUUCUAUACCUAAGGUUCCUGGCAAAGAGGGUGGCUCUCGAGGGAGUCCUCCCCGAGAGUGGGUCAUUCAGACUAGCUCUAGCAAAGGAACCGUGCUGUCUGGACAUGUAGCCAUAAAAAGGGCAGAAGAAUCAGCUGCAUUAUGCUCUGAGAAAAACCCAAUUGGCAACAAAACCUCCCUAGGCUGGGGAAGCAGGGCGCCAGGCCCAGGAGGGGACCUGGCCCAUGGUAAGCCACCCUCCCGGUGCAAGAAAGUGCAGACUGUGCAGCCUGUGCAGAAGCAGCUUGUGUCUCGAGGCGAGCUCUCCUUUGGCAGUGCCCAGCGCUUAGCGGAGUACGGUCAGGGCAGCAAGGAGGGCGCGCCAAGCUGGCCUGCCUCUGAAGCCUGGACCAACAUCCCUGCGCAGCAGGCGGCGAGGGAGGAGCAUUUGCGCUUUUACCACCAGCAGUUCCAGCAGCCACCUCUCCUCCAGCAGAAGUUACAGUACCAACCCCUGGAAAGGUUUUUAUGCCGGUCCCGGCCCCCAGAAGGGCAGCUCCAGAGUGACAUCCCUCCUCCCUUCCACCCUCAUCGUGCUGAGAGUCAUGAUGGAGCCCAAGUCCCUCAAGCCGAGGACCCUGAUGACAGCGACUUCAGUGAAGAUUCUUUUUCACAUGUCUCCUGUCAGAGGACCACAAAGCAGGGAGAGAGCCCGGAGAACAGCGAAGGCUCGUUCUUCCUUCAUCAGAGGGAGCAAGGUCCUGAGGAGCAGGUGGCUGAAAGGCAGCAGAGUCUGUUUCUCAGCCCAGAUGGUGACAAGGAGGGUGUAACUAGAAGCUGGGUGUACUCCAGGGACCCCGCAGGCCACAGAAGGAUAACACUCAAUCACAGCCGCAGCCCAGGUCAGGUGCCCUUGGACUGGAGCGGAGAGGAGGACUCAGGCUCCUCAGGGCCUCCUCCCAGAGAAGACCUGGCAGGGAAGCCUUACUGCUCACAGGUGGACUCUGUGUAUGAUCGGGAAGGAGGUGGCGGCCCUGCUUUUGACCUCAGACAGGAAGCCUUCAGAAGUGAGGUUCCUGGGCAGGCCGAGGGCAGCUUGCCAUCCCUGGAGGAAGAUGGUUUCACUUGCUCACUAUCCCACAUCGCAGUUCCUGGAUCCCCAGACCAGAGAGACACAGUGAGCACACCCCUGAGAGAAGUCAGUGAAGACAGCCCAAUUCUGGAGACCAGACCAAGGAAAAACAGUAACCCUUUCCAAGGAGAAGACUCUAAUGGUGAAUUAGGCACGUGCUCUGAGUAUGCUUCCGGACUGAUGGCUCCGCUCACCAUGUCCCUCCUGGAGAGCCUGGAUGAUGGGGGGGCUCCUUCCUGGGAGCAGCCGGCCCAGGAUGGAACUGCGCAUGGUCUCAUGGCAGUGGACACAGAGGGGCCAGCAGUGAGCCGUGCAGUGUCAUCGGGUGAUCCAGAGGCGGUCCUGCCAACAUCUUCGGCAACCGAGCACCUGUGGCUCUCCUCAUCUCCCCCCGACGACAAGCCUGGGGGCAGUCUUCCAGCUCUGUCCCCAUCACCCAUCCGUCAGCGCCCACCUGACGAGCUGCCCAGCGGAGAGGCUGACCCGGGGGAGGCCUGCCAGAGCAGAGGGACCGCACUUUUCUCCCGGGGGCACCGUUAUGCCAAUGCUGAGACAGAGCUGGACAGCUCCCAGGGUUUCCUGGGAAAGCCCUUCCUCACCUUACAUCCUGGAGGACCUCACGCUGGGCCUACACUCACCCCCAGAGCAGGAAAUAGUGAUGUGGCUGACCAGCCUGGGGCCCAGGAGAGAAAGCAGCUCACUGGGCCCAGCUGGCUGGAACUGGGUUUCUCCACAGACCCCAUCACACUGUCUUGCUACAAUGAGGACAUUGCAUGGCUCAAACAUAGGCCAAUCCCAAGGUCCUUAGCAAGGCCAGGCUCUCCGCUGGUGGCCAGCUGCUCUCCCAAGAUCGCUGGGACACUCCGUCAGCCUGCCCUGGGACAUGCACAGCAGGUGGUCAUCCAAGCACACCAGGAACAGCUGGAUGAAAUGGCUGAGUUGGGCUUCAAGGAGGAGACCCUGAUGAGCCAGCUGGCUCCUACUGAUUUUGAAGGUUUUGUGAUUCAGCUAGAUGAAAUCAUGGUUCUGAAGUCCAAGUGCAUCCAGAGUCUGAGGAGCCAGCUACAGCUAUACCUGGCCUGCCACAAGCCAGCUGCAGGCCCUGAGAGGACAGCGGUGUCUUAGAGUGGAGUUGGUAUGGGGUGGCUGGGCUCUCAAGAGCUGGAGGGGCCUCCACCAGGUCCCCCUGCAGAUCUCGGCACCCACUCCCUUGUCCCUCCCAUGCUGGUCGCUCCCUCACCACUCAUGGCCUGGGCUGGGUCCCAGCUCCUCUCUCAGAGCAAGCAUCUGUCCAGUUCCAAGCACCGGGGCUUCUGCAGGGAAGGACAGAUGAGCCUGAACAACUUCUAAUAGGUCUCUCCCUUUUCUUUGGGGUUGAGGAUUUGCAUUACUGACCCUUUGUGGAAACACAGUUGGGUCUAAUAACCCUGUAGAUGUUUCUGAAUUUGGGGGUCUGAGGAUGGGGGCGGGCGGUGGUCAGCGGUAACCUACAGGUUGGAGGUCGCAAGCUAGGAGAGAGGACAUGCUGAGCCUAGAGGUUUUACCAGCUGGAUUCUGUGCCUUCCUCCAGGACUUGGUCAAAAACUAAAACGCUGGUGCUAGUGGGGUGGGGGUUGGGUGAGAUCUGCCCCACCAGCCCUUGGGAGGUUAGCUUUUGAUGAAUAAACCGUAACUCAAUGUCCCGCA
rnacentral:lncRNA from 1 species